rnacentral:tRNA from 1 species
UCCCUGGCAGUCCAGUGGUUAAGACUCCACGCUCCCAACGCAGAGGUCACAGGUUCAAUCCCUGGUCAGGGAA